rnacentral:rRNA from 1 species
CCUACGGGUGGCAGCAGUGGGGAAUAUUGGGCAAUGGGCGCAAGCCUGACCCAGCAACGCCGCGUGAAGGAAGAAGGCUUUCGGGUUGUAAAGCUCUAUCAGCCGGGAAGAUAAUGACGGUACCUGACUAAGAAGCCCCGGCUAACUACGUGCCAGCAGCCGCGGUAAUACGUAGGGGGCAAGCGUUAUCCGGAUUUACUGGGUGUAAAGGGAGCGUAGGUGGCAGGGCAAGUGAGAUGUGAAAACCCGGGGCUCAACCCCGGGAGUGCAUUUGAAACUGUCCAGCUGGAGUGCAGGAGAGGUAAGCGGAAUUCCUAGUGUAGCGGUGAAAUGCAUAGAUAUUAGGAGGAACACCAGUGGCGAAGGCGGCUUACUGGACUGUAACUGACACUGAGGCUCGAAAGCGUGGGGAGCAAACAGGAUUAGAUACCCGUGUAGUC